CCCUUAGAUGUUCUGAACCGCACGCGUGUUACACUGAUGCAUUCAACGAGCUUUACCUUGGCCGAGAGGCCUGGGAAAUCUUUUUAGCAUGCAUCGUGAUAGGGAUUGAUUAUUGCAAUUAUUAAUCAUGAACGAGGAAUUCCUAGUAAACGCAUUUCAUCAAAAUGCAUUGAUUACGUCCCUGCCCUUUGUACACACCGCCCGUCGCACCUACCGAUUGAGUGGUCCGGUGAAGUCUCGAGAUUGUGGCAACCUCCUUUAUUGGAGUUUGACCGCGAGAACUUGCCUAAACCUUAUCACUUAGAGGAAGGUGAAGUCGUAACA
rnacentral:rRNA from 1 species